UAAAACCCUAGCGGAGAAUGAUGCUUUGAUUUGAUUAGCCUAGUUCCAUUUGCGGAUAUGUUUUUUCUCGCAUUGGGAUUUGUUAGGUCGGUAAGAGAGAAGAAGAAGAGCUUUUCAGUGAUGUUUGCGACUGAGGUGGUUCUACUUCUGACUAUAUAGGUAGCGAGGGGAGUUUGUUGUUGGCGUGCCCCAGUGUCAUGGAGUUGGAGUGAUGCGGGAAUUAAUUAUGGGUUUCAUUCGUGGUCAUGAGUACACA
rnacentral:lncRNA from 1 species